AGUCUGGUGCCAGCAGCUGCGGUAAUACCAGCUCCAAUAGCGUAUAUUAAAGUUGUUGCAGUUAAAAAGCUCGUAGUUGGACUUGUGUGCGCUGUCCGCGGGUGGCCUGCGCCCAAAAGGGCGUUUCGGUUCGGCCCCGGUGGCGCCUUGAAAUCUGCAGCUGGGGGGACGUUGGCCUUAACUGGUCGGCGACCGCACGCCGGCUGCUCGGUUACUGUGAGAAAAUUAGAGUGUUCAAGGCAGGCAUUGGGUGCAAUUGAAUACAUUAGCAUGGAAUAAUAAAAUAUGGCUCCUGCCGUAUUUUGUUGGUUUUGACUGGUGGGAGUAAUGAUUGAUAGGGACGGUUGGGGGUGCUAGUAUUGAGCGGCCAGAGGUGAAAUUCAUGGAUUCGCUCAAGACUAACUUAUGCGAAAGCAUUCACCAAGGACGUCCUCUUUAAUCAAGAACGAAAGUUGGGGGAUCGAAGACGAUCAGAUACCGUCGUAGUCUCAACCAUAAACUAUGUCGACUUGGGAUCGGCGGUGGUUUUUUCAUUAAGACACUGUCGGGACCACGGGAGAAAUCAAAGUGUCUGGACUCUGGGGGAAGUAUGGUCGCAAGGCUGAAACUUGAAGGAAUUGACGGAAGGGCACCACCAGGAGUGGAGCCUGCGGCUUAAUUUGACCCAACACGGGGAAACUUACCAGGUCCAGAGAUGUAGAGGGUUGACAGAUUGAAGCUCUUUCUUGAUCACUUCGGUGGUGGUGCAUGGCCGUUCUUAGUUGGUGGAGUGAUUUGUCUGGUUAAUUCCGUUAACGAACGAGACCUCAGCCUGCUAGUGUAGUCGGCUGGAUUGCCUUUGGCGAUCCGUGAUUUCGACUUCUUAGAGGGACAAUCGACGCGCAGUCGAUGGAAGUUUGAGGCAAUAACAGGUCUGUGAUGCCCUUAGAUGUUCUGGGCCGCACGCGCGCUACACUGCUGGGCUCAGCGAGUUUUACUUGGCCGAGAGGCCCGGUUAAUCUUGUGAAAUCCCAGCGUGCUUGGGCUCGCCUCCUGCAACUGGAGGCGCCAACGAGGAAUUCCUAGUAGACGCAGGUCAUCAACCUGCAUCGAUUACGUCCCUGCCCUUUGUACACACCGCCCGUCGUUCCAUAAGAGUGAGGCAUCCGGUGAAUUCUCGGGAGAGCCUGGGCGUGGCCAGCAAUGGUCUGCUCGGGUUUGAACUUGCAUAAACUUGGUGCCUAUGAUUAGGG
rnacentral:rRNA from 1 species